rnacentral:rRNA from 1 species
GAUGAACGCUAGCUACAGGCUUAACACAUGCAAGUCGAGGGGCAGCAUGAACUUAGCUUGCUAAGUUUGAUGGCGACCGGCGCACGGGUGAGUAACACGUAUCCAACCUUCCGUUUACUCAGGGGAUAGCCUUUCGAAAGAAAGAUUAAUACCUGAUAGUAUGGUGAGAUUGCAUGAUAACACCAUUAAAGAAUUUCGGUUGUCGAUGGGGAUGCGUUCCAUUAGGCAGUUGGCGGGGUAACGGCCCACCAAACCUACGAUGGAUAGGGGUUCUGAGAGGAAGGUCCCCCACAUUGGAACUGAGACACGGUCCAAACUCCUACGGGAGGCAGCAGUGAGGAAUAUUGGUCAAUGGACGAGAGUCUGAACCAGCCAAGUAGCGUGAAGGAUGACUGCCCUAUGGGUUGUGAACUUCUUUUAUACGGGAAUAAAGUUAGCCACGUGUGGUUUUUGUAUGUACCGUAUGAAUAAGGAUCGGCUAACUCCGUG